GAUGAACGCUGUCGGCGUGCCUAAUACAUGCAAGUCGAGCGAACCACUUCGGUGGUGAGCGGCGAACGGGUGAGUAACACGUAGGUGAUCUUCCCAUCAGACGGGGACAACGAUUGGAAACGAUCGCUAAUACCGGAUAGGACGAAAGUUUAAAGGUGCUUCUGGCACCGCUGAUGGAUGAGCCUGCGGCGCAUUAGCUAGUUGGUAGGGUCAAGGCCUACCAAGGCGACGAUGCGUAGCCGUCCUGAGAGGGUGAACGGCCACACUGGGACUGAGACACGGCCCAGACUCCUACGGGAGGCAGGGGUAGGGAAUGUUCGGCAAUGGGCGAAAGCCUGACCGAGCAAGGCCGUGUGAUUGAUGAAGGCCGUCGGGUUGUAAAAUUCUGUUAUAAGGGAAGAACGACUUUAGUAGGAAAUGGCUAGAGUGUGACGGUACCUUAUGAGAAAGCCACGGCUAACUACGUGCCAGCAGCCGCCGUAA
rnacentral:rRNA from 1 species